rnacentral:rRNA from 1 species
AUGAACGCUGGCGGCGUGCCUAAUACAUGCAAGUCGAGCGAACAGACGAGGAGCUUGCUCCUCUGACGUUAGCGGCGGACGGGUGAGUAACACGUGGAUAACCUACCUAUAAGACUGGGAUAACUUCGGGAAACCGGAGCUAAUACCGGAUAAUAUAUUUAACCGCAUGGUUCAAUAGUGAAAGACGGUUUUGCUGUCACUUAUAGAUGGAUCCGCGCCGCAUUAGCUAGUUGGUAAGGUAACGGCUUACCAAGGCAACGAUGCGUAGCCGACCUGAGAGGGUGAUCGGCCACACUGGAACUGAGACACGGUCCAGACUCCUACGGGAGGCAGCAGUAGGGAAUCUUCCGCAAUGGGCGAAAGCCUGACGGAGCAACGCCGCGUGAGUGAUGAAGGUCUUCGGAUCGUAAAACUCUGUUAUUAGGGAAGAACAAAUGUGUAAGUAACUAUGCACGUCUUGACGGUACCUAAUCAGAAAGCCACGGCUAACUACGU